GUUAGUUAACUUUUAUUAUCUCUUUUAUUUUCCAACUUUUCCUUAGUUUAUUAGGGUUCUAUAUUAGCUUCUGUUACUUCAUCAUCUUCAAAAGCCUUUGCUUAUCCCUUGUCCCUAUCUUGCAAGAAAAUUUGUCCAAAUACUAGUGUUAUGCUGCUGCACAAAAGCAUCCUUGCUGUCCAAAACAGCCCUGCAACAAUAGACAAAACAGUCUACAAACUUACUACAUAACCACCACCAAACUUGCCCAAAAUGUUACUACAAAACCUGCAUCAAAAAGUGAUAGAUCAGUAUACUAAAUCAGUUCAAAAGCUCUCCCGUUUCCCCCCAAAACUCCCCACAAUUCUCCUAUAAAAUUACAUCAUUUACAGUAGGAAGAGGAGGAGAGGAAAUACACACCAAAACCCUAGUCCUAACUCUCUCCGUCUCGAAUCCUCCAAGCCCUCACUCUAAGUCUCUGCUCACUCAACCUACCUCAAAUCACUCAUAACAACCAUAAAAUCACUGACCUGCAGUCACCAAUAACACAAACUGAUUUACACAGAAUCACAACAACUCACGCAUCAACUUCGACGAUUUUCCAGCAACAACACAAUAUUCAUAUCGCACAAAACUCAGCCACAACAACGCACAGAUUCGCAGAAAAAGAAGCAAAUGCACAAAGGAAUUAGAAGAGAGAAAUUAAAAAUUCGAACCUGAGCGGAUUCGUCACUACCGUAACAUCCGGACGAUGGCAUCCAGGCUUGUUAAUCAUGCACGAAGUCCCUAAAUAUGAACUUGAUCCUGUAGAGCUUGAUUUUACCAACAGUGUGGAGAUAACAAACAAUUCCGUUGCAUGCACAUGAUUCUUCCAUCCCAUGAUCUUUUCUUAAAUGACAGGGGACUUUCUGUAUUGCGUUGUGGCGUGGGACCAAGGUUGCGGUAAAAUAGUUUGGUUCUGUUAUAUGCUUUAACAAUAAUUAAUAAUUAAUAUACUUGAGUUCUAACAGGGAGGCUUUCAGAGACGAGAUUGCUCUGUUCCAGAAGAUUCCUCAUCCAAAUGAUGAUAAAAAGUGGUUUCUAUCUCUUAUACACUCUAAUUUUAUUGUUUUACCUGGAACAUGGAAAUGAGUUUUUGAUGAUAAAAAGUGUUAUUGUUUUUAUUUUAGUUUGAUACCUUUCUGUUUUUCAAUGACUCAUUAACAAGGAACAUGUUAUAAUUUUUAUAAGAUGUUUGUAAUGUUUUAUUUUUUUGUUUAUUUUCCAGAUAGCUAUUUUUGUAAUAAUUUGCGAAUGACUUUACUUACAAAUGCAUCUGUUGCAAGAGUUCAAUUCAUAGUUGGAGUAUUCAGAGCUUUCAAAACUAAAGGUUUCGGGUUUUAAAAGAUUAGCAAAAAAGUAUCCAUAAACAUAUCACCAAGCUAGUUGACUCUAGCAAGUCAAAACAUAUAGUUUUCUUUAUUUUUCAUUUGAAUUUAACACUCGUUUCCUAUCUCGUUAAUUUUCUUUAUGUUCAAACUAUUUGAGUUCUACAUUGAGUUCCAACCUCAAUUAACCUCAAUUUGCGCGUAGCCACCCUGAGCAUCUCUUUUCAGAGACAACGACAUUGUUGUUUUCACAGGCUCGACUCCUAUGCGGCUAUGAGACUUGUGCAUUUGUCGAAAAAGUCAAAGCUAUGAGACUACCUUUGUUAGAGAGUUUACUGAAGGAUGAGCGGUGAAACCACAAUAGAAGUAAUGAGGUGAUCCUCUCUAUCUAUAUGAUUUUGACAAAGUUUGCAAAAACCGAUACAAAUGAUGAAUAUUUCACUAAACUCAUUCCUUUGGUGAGGAGUGCAAACAAGUGGAUCAGGUAAUUCAUAAUUCAUGCUAUGCAUUUGUCUUUUUUUUAAUUUUGUUUUUAAUUAUGAAUUAUUAAAUUAAAUCUUAUUAGUUACUAAUAUUAUUUUGAAAAUUAAAUCUUAUUAGUUAUGAAUAAGAUUUAAUUUAAUUAUUCAUAACUAAAAACAAAAUAAGAAAAGAGAUAAAUGCAUAUGAUGAAUUAACUGAUUUGUAUUGGUUUUUGCAAACUUCUCCUAAAUAUUCAUCAUCAUUUGUAUUGGUUUUUGCAAACUCCUCUAAUUUGCACUUGAGUGUAAUGAAAUAUUCAUCAUCAUUUGUAUUGGUUUUUGCAAACUUCUCCUAAAUCAUAUAAAUAGAGAGGAUUACCUCAUUACUGAUUUAACCGUUCAUCUUUCAGCGCACUCUCCAACAAAGGUAGCCCCAUAGCUUUGACUUUUUCGACAAAUCCACGAGCCUCAUAGCCAUAUAGGAGUCGAAUAAAGGAAACUGUAUGCUCUGGCUUUGCUAGAGUCAACGAGGACCGAUAUUUUUUUGCUAAUCCUUUGAAACCGGAAACCUUUAGCUUUGAAAUAUCUGAAUAUUCUUGAAUUUCUUGGAACGGUUGCAUUUAUAAGGUUCGGUCAUUGGCAAAUUAUUACAAAAAUAACUAUCUGGAAAAUAAUAAAAAAUAAAAAUAAAACAUUACAAACAUCUCAUAAAAAUUCUGACAUCUUCUUGUUAAUGAAUCAUUAAAAAACAAAGAUGAUUCAAACUAAAACAUUAACACUUUUUAUCAUUAAGAAAUCCUUUCUAUGUUGCACAUAAAUCAAUAUAAUUUCUUGGUGCUGUGACACAGAGUAGUCCAAUGAUGAUUAUGACAAAAUAUCUUGCCAAGGGAGAUCUUCGAGAUUUCAUGAAAAGAAAAGGAGCUUUAAAACCAAGUACAGCGGUUAGAUUUGCACUUGAUAUUGCUAGGUAUUUGACACACACAUGCUUUAGAUUUUAUUUUGGUUAUUCUAUUUGCAAGUUGCAACAUUGUAUCACGAAAUCAGCACUUGGUCCCAUUCAAGUGGGAUGUGCUCUGAUGUUCAGCUGAUCAGUCGAGUUGGUCAUAAGAUCAUCUCGAUAUUUGUUUCAAUCCUCCCUCCAUAUCUCUCAGCCUAGAGAAUCUCAUCUAAUGAGUUUGAUUAAAGAGAAAGACCGAGCGGAAGAGAUAUCUGCUAAAGAAGAAAGUGUGUUAAGAGAAAUGCUUCAAAUUCUCUGCCCCUGUGCCCAGUGUUUCCCGAUAUAGGAAAAGUAGUGUUUUAGGAAUAAGAAAGUAAUAGAAAUCAAGAAAAACUAUAUAAAAGGUAAGAAGCUAAUAUAUUAUAAUUUAAAAAAAAACAUAAUUAAUUACAUAAAUAUGUGUUCAUAGGCUGAUUAAGUGAAGCCCAUGUUUAAUUUGGCUAAGUAAUGGUCCAAUCUGUUUGUCCAGUAACUUAAGUGUGUGAAUAUCACGCACAAAAAGAAACAAGUUAUUAAAUUAAAUUAUUCAAUUAAAUUAUUCAAAUAUUGUUCUUGAACAGGUUUCUUCUCAAAAAUGUUCUGAUUGCAUGUCCUAAGAAGCAUCAUGGCUUUAACAUUUAUCUCUAGGUUUAUACUUUCUGGAUAAAAAUAUGCAUUAUGUUGUAGAGAUAACUUUUCAAAAUUCACGUAUGUGAAUCAUGUUAAGAUGAGACAUCUACUUGGUUCUGAUUCUUUGAUGUCUCUACUGCGAUGUUUGUCUUUUUUUCUCUACUGAAGUGUCACUUAACACCAUUUCUUUUUAUAUUAUGCCGGGGAGUGAGUUACUUGCAUGAAAAUAAACCAUCACCCAUUAUUCACCGUGAUCUCGAGCCUCCGUAAGUUUCUGUUGAAUUAUUGUUUUUUCCUUUCUCCUUUUAUGUGAAGUUCGAAUGUCUGGAUUAAUCAUCUGAUAUAUUUACACUUUUUAUCAAUGUUGCUUAUGAGUAAACUAACAGUAAUAUAUUACGGGAUGAUUUCGGCCACCUAAAAGUUGCAGAGUUUGGAGUUAGCAAGUUGCUAACAGUUAAAGACAAGCCGCUAACUUGCCAAGAUACUUCUUGUGGGUGCUGCUUUUCUUUAGAACUGUCAUUAAUGCAUACUUAAAAAAUCUAAAUAUCUAAAUAGUAUAUUCUCUUAUUCAUAUAGGACACUGAUAUUUUUUAUGCAGUGGUCUUAUAUAUCUUGCUUCAUGGAAUAAUUUUCUAAAACGAGGAACUUUGUUAUUUUUGU